GCUCCGGUAGUAUAGACCGGUCAAGUAUUCCGGCCUUUCGAGCCGGAAACCCGGGUUCGAAUCCCGGCCGGAGCACCA
rnacentral:tRNA from 1 species